rnacentral:rRNA from 1 species
AGAGUUUGAUCCUGGCUCAGAGUGAACGCUGGCGGCGUGCUUAACACAUGCAAGUCGAACGAGAACGGGUUAUAGCUUGCUAUAACUGUCAGCUAAGUGGCGCACGGGUGAGUAAUAUAUAGGUAACGUGCCCUAGAGAGGGGGAUAACAAUUGGAAACGAUUGCUAAUACCCCAUAUGCCUUUAAGUCAUAAGACUGCAAGGGAAAUAUUUAUAGCUCUAGGAUCGGCCUGUACGGUAUCAGUUUGUUGGUGAGGUAAUGGCUCACCAAGACUAUGACGCCUAACUGGUUUGAGAGGAUGAUCAGUCACACUGGAACUGAGACACGGUCCAGACUCCUACGGGAGGCAGCAGUGGGGAAUAUUGCACAAUGGAGGAAACUCUGAUGCAGCAACGCCGCGUGGAGGAUGACACAUUUCGGUGCGUAAACUCCUUUUCUAUAGGAAGAUAAUGACGGUACU